rnacentral:tRNA from 1 species
GGAGAGGUGACCGAGUGGCCGAAGGUACUCCCUUGCUAAGGGAGCGCGGGUCAAAAGCCUGCCGCGGGUUCGAAUCCCGCCCUCUCCG